rnacentral:misc_RNA from 1 species
AUUUGAUUAACUUUAAUCUUAGAUUCGAUUUAAAUUGAUCUAGUUUCAAUUCAAAAUCGACUCAUGUCUAUUCUAACUUCGAUCAACUAUUUGUUCUUAUGAUGACUUGAUUCUGUGAUAGUAUUGAAUAUUUUAAAUUGACUUUAACCCUUUAUUUGGAUUGAUGGAAAAUAGAGAAAAGAAAAAAAAAAAUUUGGUUACUUCUCCAUUCUCCAUUCCCGUCACUCCUUCUCCCUCAUUUAUCUCAUUUCAUUUCCACCAUUAACACCCUUCUCAAGCUUUCAAAAGCUUGAUUUUAUGUUAUAAACUCCCUAACUCCUUUAAGUAAGUCUUGUUCUUGGACUUUGACAAGCAUCUUGACAACAAAAAGAAGAGGAAAGAAAGAAGAUUUGAAGAGGGAGAAAUUCAACAAAAGAGGUUAGUGGUUAGUUUUUAAUAUUAUGUUUAAAUUCAUAAUUAAGUAGUUGAAUUACACUAGAAAUUGUGGAAAAAUACAAUGAAAUAAAUUGUUGAAGGACCAAACCUAAAUUUCGGUCAACUAGGGUUUUGAUAUGUGUAUGCAUGAGUUUGAUAGACUUAAAGAUAUAUGUGAUCUUGUUUGGGUUGAAGAAGCAUGUAUAGAGGCAUUGAAUUAGCUAAAUUCAAAGAAUUGGUAAACUAGGGUUUAGAGGUAAAAAUGUGAGAAAUUGGUAAAUGAUAUGUUUGACCUAUUUUGAGGUGAGAAAUGGUCAUUUGUGACCAAAUGAAGUGUGUUGGAAGUAUUGGAGUUAAGACUAAAUUCGGAUUCAAUGUAGUCAUGCUGCUGGCAGCAUGACCA